rnacentral:rRNA from 1 species
GUCCUUUGGUUUUAUUUAUUUAAGGUCGAUCCUGCCCUAUGAUAUUUUAAAUGGCUGCAGUAAUUUUAACUGUGCAAAGGUAGCAUAAUCAUUUGUCUUUUAAUUGAAGUCUAGAAUGAAUGGUUUAAUGAAAUGAAGACUUUCUUUGAUUUUAUAUUAGAAUUUAAUUUUAUAGUAAAAAAGCUUUAAUUUUAUUAAGGGACGAGAAGACCCUAUAGAAUUUUAUUAAUUUAUUAAUAAAUAAUUAUUAAUAAUUUUAUAUAUAUUUAAGUUAAUUUUGUUGGGGUGAUAUUAAAAUUUUUUUAACUUUUAUUUUAAUUGUUCAAUAAUUUUUGUUUUUUUUGAUCCUUUUAUGAUUAUAAGACUAAUUUACCUUAGGGAUAACAGCGUAAUUUAUUUGAAGAGUUCUUAUCGAUAAAUAAGUUUGCGACCUCGAUGUUGAAUUAGGGAUAAUUUCAGGGGUAUAUUUUUGUUUUUUAGGUCUGUUCGACCUUUAAAUUCCUACA